rnacentral:snRNA from 1 species
AUACUUACCUGGCAGGGGAGACACCAUGAUCAAGAAGGCGGUUCACCCAGGGCGAGGCUCGUCCAUUGCACUCCGGCCGUGCUGACCCCUGCGAAUUCCCCAAAUGUGGGAAUCUGAAUCAGGUGUGUUUGAUUAAGGUGAC